AUUGAACGCUGGCGGCAGGCUUAACACAUGCAAGUCGAGCGGGGGAGGUUGCUUCGGUAACUGACCUAGCGGCGGACGGGUGAGUAAUACUUAGGAAUCUGCCUAUUAAUGGGGGACAACAUCUCGAAAGGGAUGCUAAUACCGCAUACGCCCCACGGGGGAAAGCAGGGGAUCACUUGUGACCUUGCGUUAAUAGAUGAGCCUAAGUCGGAUUAGCUAGUUGGUGGGGUAAAGGCCUACCAAGGCGACGAUCUGUAGCGGGUCUGAGAGGAUGAUCCGCCACACUGGGACUGGAACACGGCCCAGACUCCUACGGGAGGCAGCAGUGGGGAAUAUUGGACAAUGGGGGGAACCCUGAUCCAGCCAUGCCGCGUGUGUGAAGAAGGCCUUAUGGUUGUAAAGCACUUUAAGCGAGGAGGAGGCUCUUUUGGUUAAUACCCAAGAUGAGUGGACGUUACUCGCAGAAUAAGCACCGGCUAACUCUGUGCCAGCCGCCGCAGUAACAC
rnacentral:rRNA from 1 species